rnacentral:rRNA from 1 species
GAUGAACGCUGGCGGCGUGCUUAACACAUGCAAGUCGAACGGGAAGGCCCAAGCUUGCUUGGGUACUCGAGUGGCGAACGGGUGAGUAACACGUGGGUGAUCUGCCCUGCACUUCGGGAUAAGCCUGGGAAACUGGGUCUAAUACCGGAUAGGACGAUGGUUUGGAUGCCAUUGUGGAAAGUUUUUUCGGUGUGGGAUGAGCUCGCGGCCUAUCAGCUUGUUGGUGGGGUAAUGGCCUACCAAGGCGUCGACGGGUAGCCGGCCUGAGAGGGUGUACGGCCACAUUGGGACUGAGAUACGGCCCAGACUCCUACGGGAGGCAGCAGUGGGGAAUAUUGCACAAUGGGCGCAAGCCUGAUGCAGCGACGCCGCGUGGGGGAUGACGGCCUUCGGGUUGUAAACUCCUUUCGCUAGGGACGAAGCGUUUUUGUGACGGUACCUGGAGAAGAAGCACCGGCUAACUACGUG